rnacentral:rRNA from 1 species
ACAUCCAAGGAAGGCAGCAGGCGCGCAAAUUACCCAAUGGCGACACGCCGAGGUAGUGACAAUAAAUAACAAUAUAGGGCUCUUUUGGGUCUUAUAAUUGGAAUGAGUACAAUUUAAAUCCCUUAACGAGGAACAAUUGGAGGGCAAGUCUGGUGCCAGCAGCCGCGGUAAUUCCAGCUCCAAUAGCGUAUAUUAAAGUUGUUGCAGUUAAAAAGCUCGUAGUCGAAAUUCAGAUCCGGCCGGGUGGUCCGCCUCACGGUGUGUACUGUCUGGCUGGGCCUUACCUCUUGGUGAGCCGGCAUGCCCUUCACUGGGUGUGUUGGGGAACCAGGACUUUUACUUUGAGAAAAUUAGAGUGUUCAAAGCAGGCCUACGCCCGAAUACAUUAGCAUGGAAUAAUAGAAUAGGACGUGCGGUUCUAUUUUGUUGGUUUCUAGAGUCGCCGUAAUGAUCAAAUAGGGACAGUUGGGGGCAUUCGUAUUCGGUUGCUAGAGGUGAAAUUCUUGGAUUUACCGAAGACGAACUUCUGCGAAAGCAUUUGCCAAGGAUGUUUUCAUUGAUCAAGAACGAAGGUUAGGGGAUCGAAAACGAUCAGAUACCGUUGUAGUCUUAACAGUAAACUAUGCCGACUAGGGAUCGGGCGAUCUCACUAUCAUGUGUCGCUCGGCACCU